GACGAACGCUGGCGGCGUGCCUAAUACAUGCAAGUCGAGCGGAGAGAAGAAGCUUGCUUCUUCUCUUAGCGGCGGACGGGUGAGUAACACGUGGGCAACCUACCUUGUAGAUUGGGAUAACUCCGGGAAACCGGGGCUAAUACCAAAUAAUCCAUUUUGCUUCAUGGCGAAAUGUUGAAAGGCGGCUUCGGGCUGUCACUACAAGAUGGGCCCGCGGCGUAUUAGCUAGUUGGUAGGGUAAUGGCCUACCAAGGCGACGAUACGUAGCCGACCUGAGAGGGUGAUCGGCCACACUGGGACUGAGACACGGCCCAGACUCCUACGGGUGGCAG
rnacentral:rRNA from 1 species